UGAGGAAUUUUGCGCAAUGGGAGCAAUCCUGACGCAGCAACGCCGCGUGGGUGAUGAAGGCCUUCGGGUCGUAAAGCCCUGUCAGGUGGGAAGAAUGUCCUGGAAUUGAACAGGUUUCGGGAGUGACGGUACCACCAGAGGAAGCACCGGCUAACUCCGUGCCAGCAGCCGCGGUAAUACGGAGGGUGCACGCGUUAUUCGGAAUUACUGGGCGUAAAGCGCGUGUAGGCGGUCCUGCAAGUCUGAUGUGAAGGCCCCGGGCUUAACCCGGGAAGUGCAUUGGAAACUGCAGGGCUUGAGUACUGGAGAGGCAGGGGGAAUUCCCGGUGUAGAGGUGAAAUGCGUAGAGAUCGGGAGGAAUAUCAGUGGCGAAGGCGCCCAUCUGGACGGUAACUGACGCUGAGACGCGAAAGCGUGGGGAGCAAACA
rnacentral:rRNA from 1 species